UAGAAUACAUUAUUGGUUAUAUCACUUAGAAUACAUUGUUGGUUAUAUCACUUAGAAUACAUUAUUGGUUAUAUCACUUAGAAUACAUUAUUGGUUAUAUCACUUAGAAUACAUUAUUGGUUAUAUCAUUUUUAAUCAAUAUAUUUUUAUAAGGUUAUAUUCUAUUUUAAAAAAAGGUCUCUAAUACAAGUGUACACUUUUUUACCCAGGUUUAGCUAACAUUUUAUUAUCACUGUUGUGUAUGUUAACUAUUUUUUGUCUCAAUAUUUCUUCUAAGAAAUGUUGAUUUUCUCUAUACAUGUUCACAUUAAAUUAAAGUUAAUAAACAAAAUCUGAAAUUCAAACUAAAAUGGGUUUAGAAAUCCACACUGAUAGUACACAAUAAUGUAUUUAUUUACAAGAAACAUAUUGUUUUGUCAUUACAGUAGUAAUUUAUCAUAGUUAAUUAUUGUAUUUGUAAAAUUAUCUACAAUUUUAUUUACAAUAUGUAUUAAAAUAAUUGUUAAACAAGCAAAAUUGAAUCCCAACUGAGGUUGUUAUAUAAUCAAUCUUAAUAAUUGAUAACUGUUAGAAAUAUGCUUAAUUUGUUUGAACAGCUGAUUACAAAAAGAGAGAAAAAUAUUAUUUUUUUUCCAUUAAGAAACCAGUCUGUUGGUAGAAAUUCACCAAAGCAAUAUUUUUUGUUUUGUUUUUUAAUGUACUUAAUGAAAAACGAAUAUUACUUUUCCCUCAUAAAUGCCAGUCUAUGAUUUAUAAUGGCCAUUCAAUGGAAAAGUUAUACCAAUAAAUGUCUUCCAUUACUAACCACCACCACCUUCACAUUCCCUGCCAUGAGUCAGAUCAAAUUAAUUGUCUCACAUAGUAGCAGUAACAUAGAAAGAAAAUUUCAGUAACAUUCCAUUAAAAAUUACUUGUCAAUGUAACAUGGAUGAUUUUGUGCUUUUCUAGUUUGUUUUUUUUUGUUCUCUGGAUUCUAGCAGCUCAGCAACAUUCCAUAUAUCUUGAUUUGUGAUAACCUUUUUAUUGAGGGGAAAAACAAUCAUUGUUUUAUUUGUUUGUUAAAUCUAUCCUCAUUAUUUGUGUAGUAGUAGACCAAGAGCUGUGAUAUGUGAUACUGAUUUUAUGGUUCAAAAACUUUAACUUUUUAUUUAAGAUUUUAAUCAUCAUGGAUUCUUCACUUUAGUAUUGUGAUACAUUUUUAUAAAUACUUGUGAAGACAAAACAAGCAUAAUAAUUAAUAUAACAUUUUAGCAGCCAAUCCUAUUCACCCUGCACAUUUUUUACCCCCCCCC